UUUUUUUUUAUUUGCAUCGGGUGUCCGAGUCUCUUUGAGCCCCGACUAAUCCCGGGGGUGCACAGGCCCUCGGCAAGGAGUUUCCCGCAAGUGCACCACGGUUAAUUCAGGUUUUACCCAGUCCGAUGGCCCUCAAAAAUUGUUUGCACCCAGUGGGUUUCGAACUUGAGACCUUGAAAGGGAGCAAACCCCAAGGCUCAAGUCAAUUGCCAGCAGGCCAACCCC
rnacentral:lncRNA from 1 species